CCUACGGGAGGCAGCAGUGAGGAAUAUUGGUCAAUGGCCGAGAGGCUGAACCAGCCAAGUCGCGUGAGGGAAGACGGCCCUACGGGUUGUAAACCUCUUUUGUCGGGGAGCAAAGCGAGUCACGUGUGACAUAUUGAGAGUCCCCGAAGAAAAAACAUCGGCUAACUCGGUGCCAGCAGCCGCGGUAAUACGGAGGAUGCGAGCGUUAUGCGGAUUUAUUGGGUUUAAAGGGUGCGCAGGCGGAGGUGCAAGUCAGCGGUAAAAUUGGGGGGCUCAACCCCGUACUGCCGUUGAAACUGCAUCUCUUGAGUGCGCGAGAGGUAUGCGGAAUGCGUGGUGUAGCGGUGAAAUGCAUAGAGAUCACGCAGAACUCCGAUUGCGAAGGCAGCAUACCGGCGCGCAACUGACGCUCAUGCGCGAAAGCGUGGGUAUCGAACAGGAUUAGAUACCCCUGUAGUC
rnacentral:rRNA from 1 species